rnacentral:tRNA from 1 species
UGGCUCAGACGGUAAAGAAUCUGCCUGCAAUGCAGGAGAUCCAGGUUUGAUUCCUGG